rnacentral:lncRNA from 1 species
GUUGGAGUUAAUUUUUAACUCCAUAAAACUUUCCUAAAGUUUUGGUUUGUUUUGCCUUCUUCACGUGUGUUUUGUAGGGUUCGAAUGGCUGAGUCAAAGAGAGGUUGAAGACUCCUACAAAUAAGGAAGAUGAGAAGAGGGAAAAUAGAGAGAAAGGGAGUGGUUGGAGGCUCAAACGUGGCUGUUGGAAGUUAAGGGAAGAAAGUUGGUGGAGUUUGUUCCUACAAACAAGGAAAACCUAACCACUUCAACAACCACUCCAUCCAUCACUUGCAGCACGUUUUUCAAGGCUUGGGGAGCAAGUUGGAGACGCCUAUAUAAGCUGGGGAAUAAUUCUCAUUCAAAGUGCAGCUUGAGAGAGUGAUAGGCGAUUCUUGUACGAGUGUUAUGUUGUGUGCUACGAUAACAUCUUUUACAGCACUCAUUGUUCCUUAAGUCUGCCAAGAGCUUACAGAGAGAAAUCAAGCCAUGUAGGGCAAUUGUGUACGAGUGUGAUUCUGUAUGUUGGGAUGACAUCAAAGUCAACUCUCGUUGUUUUAUUUUGUAAGGUUUCGGAGUAUUACUCUUUAACCGAGUUUUGUUUUUUAGU